GGGUUGGUGGUGAAGCGGUAUCACAUGUCUGUGGUUCCCACAGGCAAGUCUCAGGUUCAAGUCCUGAUCGGCCUC